rnacentral:lncRNA from 1 species
ACUGCGGCACUACAUAGAGUGACCACAUAAUUUAUUGUACAGAGGAGAUGUUUUUGAGCAUGAACAAGUGAUAUUAAACAACAGGCAUAAAUCAGAUUGUAGCUGAGAAUGUCAGAUCCUGUGGUCACCUGUAAGCUGUGUUCAGAUGCUUAGACCACCAGUAAAAUCAAAAUACGAAUCUUCUCUUCAUAUCUUUGUUGUUACUUGACAAAUAUUGAGAACUAACAAAGAAGAAAAGUCCCUUUCUUCCAAAACAUCCAAGAAUACAAUUGUGAUAACACAGGGAUGACUCUUUCCUCUCCCCUGAAUUCUAGACUCAAGAUUGUCAUUUCCACUCAGAUUGCAAAACAUGGAUCCCCAAAAAAACUAAUUUCACCUCCCAAUCUUCCUUUAGCUGGCAUGUUCUAUUUCAUAAAUGGUGCUAUAGUCCACUAAAUUGCCUAAGGCAGACCCAGAAAAGUACUGCCUUAUAGAAGUGCCACCCUUAAUUUCUCUACAUUUUAUACAUACUAACCAAACCAGCUGAGAAUUCUAACAUCUAGUGAAAGAAGGGUAAUUUUCAGGAGUUUAAAGGCUCUUUUUGCUUGGUUUUAAUUGUAUAAUUCAUGUAACAAAAUAAACCACUCUAAAGUGAACAAUUAAGUAGUAUUUAGUGCAUUCACAAUGUUGUUCUACUGCCACCUCUAUCCAGUUUCCAAAUAGUCUCAUCAUGCCAAAAUAAAACCCUGCACAUUAAGUAAGUUUUCUUCCCAUUUCCUUCUCCCUCUUGCCCCGGGCAACCGCCAGUCUGCUUUCUGUUUCUAUAGAUUGGCCAGUUCUGGAUACUUCAAAUAAAUGGAAUCACACAACAUGUUUG